AACGAGAAACUCGCCUUCGGGCGGGCGGUAAAGUGGCGGACGGGUGAGUAACACGUGGGUAACCUGCCCUUGAGUCUGGAAUAACUCGUCGAAAGGUGAGCUAAUACCGGAUACCGUUUCCGGUUCCUCGGAACUGGAAACGAAAGGUGGCCUCUGCUUGCAUGCUAUCGCUUGAGGAGGGGCCCGCGGCCCAUUAGCUAGUUGGUGAGGUAACGGCUCACCAAGGCGACGAUGGGUAGCCAGCUUGAGAGGGCGAUUGGCCACACUGGAACUGAGACACGGUCCAGACUCCUACGGGAGGCAGCAGUGAGGAAUUUUGCGCAAUGGGCGAAAGCCUGACGCAGCAACGCCGCGUGGAUGAUGAAGGUCUUCGGGUCGUAAAAUCCUGUCAGGUGGGAAGAAAUCGGAGAGGUGAAUAUCCUUUUCGUCUGACUGUACCACCAGAGGAAGCCCCGGCUAACUCCGUGCCAGCAGCCGCGGUAAUACGGAGGGGGCAAGCGUUGUUCGGAAUUACUGGGCGUAAAGGGCGCGUAGGCGGUUGGGUGUGUCUGACGUGAAAGCCCUUGGCUUAACCAAGGAAGUGCGUCUUAUACUGCCCGACUCGAGUCCGGGAGAGG
rnacentral:rRNA from 1 species